rnacentral:rRNA from 1 species
GAUGAACGCUGGCGGCGUGCUUAACACAUGCCAGUCGAACGGGAAUUAUUUUAUUGAAACUUCGGUCGAUUUCAUUUAAUUCUAGUGGCGGACGGGUGAGUAACGCGUGGGUAACCUGCCUUAUACAGGGGGAUAACAGUCAGAAAUGGCUGCUAAUACCGCAUAAGCGCACAGAGCUGCAUGGCUCAGUGUGAAAAACUCCGGUGGUAUAAGAUGGACCCGCGUUGGAUUAGCUUGUUGGCAGGGUAACGGCCUACCAAGGCGACGAUCCAUAGCCGGCCUGAGAGGGUGAACGGACACAUUGGGACUGAGACACGGCCCAGACUCCUACGGGAGGCAGCAGUGGGGAAUAUUGCACAAUGGGGGAAACCCUGAUGCAGCGACGCCGCGUGAAGGAAGAAGUAUCUCGGUAUGUAAACUUCUAUCAGCAGGGAAGAUAGUGACGGUACCUGACUAAGAAGCCCCGGCUAACUACGUG